ACUCUGGAAUAAGCGCUGGAAACGGCGUCUAAUACCGGAUAUGACACACCCUCGCAUGGGGAGUGUGUGGAAAGUUUUUCGGUCUGGGAUGGACUCGCGGCCUAUCAGCUUGUUGGUGAGGUAAUGGCUCACCAAGGCGAUGACGGGUAGCCGGCCUGAGAGGGCGACCGGCCACACUGGGACUGAGACACGGCCCAGACUCCUACGGGAGGCAGCAGUGGGGAAUAUUGCACAAUGGGCGCAAGCCUGAUGCAGCGACGCCGCGUGAGGCAUGACGGCCUUCGGGUUGUAAACCUCUUUCAGCAGGGAAGAAGCGCAAGUCACGGUACCUGCAGAAGAAGCACCGGCUAACUACGUGCCAGCAGCCGCGUUAAUACGCAGAUUGCGAACGUUGUCCGGAAUUAUUGGGCGUAAAGAGCUUGUAGGCGGUUUGUCGCGUCUGCAGUGAAAACCCGGGACUCAACCUCGGAUUUGCU
rnacentral:rRNA from 1 species